rnacentral:rRNA from 1 species
CUACGGGGCGCUCCAGUGAGGAAUAUUGCACAAUGGGGGGAACCCUGAUGCAGCAACGCCGCGUGGAGGAUGACGCAUUUCGGUGUGUAAACUCCUUUUAUAUGUCAAGAAAAUGACGGUAGCAUAUGAAUAAGCACCGGCUAACUCCGUGCCAGCAGCCGCGGUAAUACGGAGGGUGCAAGCGUUACUCGGAAUCACUGGGCGUAAAGGACGCGUAGGCGGGUUGGAAAGUCAGGUGUGAAAUCCUACAGCUUAACUGUAGAACUGCGCUUGAAACUUCUAAUCUAGAGUAUGGGAGGGGGAGAUGGAAUUAGUGGUGUAGGGGUAAAAUCCGUAGAUAUCACUAGGAAUACCUAAGGCGAAGGCGAUCUCCUGGAACAUUACUGACGCUAAGGCGUGAAAGCGUGGGGAGCAAACAGGAUUAGAUACCCGGGUAGUC